CUAAAUUAAGCUUUUGUGCUAAAAUGAAACAUAAAAAAUAUAGUUGGAGGGCCAAAAUGGAACAUGUAAAAUAGAGUUGGAGGGCCUAAAUGGAACAAGGUAGAGAUAAAGUGCCAAAAUGAAAAAUGGUACUCCCUCCGUUCCAAUUUAUGUGAAUUUGUUUGACUGGGUACGGAGUUUAAGAAAAAAAAUAAAGACUUUUGGAAUUUGUUGUCCUAAAUAACUUCAAAUGGGGCCUAGAGUAUUUGUGAAGUUAUAAAAGUUUCUCAUUAAGGGUGGAGUUGUAAGUUUAACCUAAAUCAUGACUAAAUUUAGAAAGGGUUCAUUCUUUUUGGAACAGACCAAAAAGAAAAUAUAUUCAUAUAAGUUCGAACAAUGAAGUAUAAGUUCGAUGGCUAGUAUAUGUAUUUCUGAAGUUCCUUGGUCGGCGGCAAUCAAAAUCACCAGGUGAUUUCUCUUAGUUUUUCAGGCCCCACAUGUAAGUCAUUUCCCGUACAAAAUCCAAAUUUAUUCUCGUACUAUGCCUAAGUACAUUUAUGAUACAAUCUGCAUAUAACAAGAAAUAUUCAGUAGUUCAAAAUUUGCUAAAACUAAAUAGGCAUUCAAGACACUUUAGUCCGCUUUGAUUUAUUUAAUUUUGUUCCUUUUCUUUGUUCCAUUCCAAUUCUUGCAAUUGCAAAUCAGAAGCUAUGAGCAAUGCUCCCUCCACCAGAAUAAGAAGACUCGCCAUUGAAAUCCAUCAUCCUCAAGCAAUCUUGA
rnacentral:lncRNA from 1 species